AGAGUUUGAUCUUGGCUCAGAUUGAACGCUGGCGGCAGGCCUAACACAUGCAAGUCGAGCGGAAACGAGCUAACUGAACCUUCGGGGAACGUUAACGGCGUCGAGCGGCGGACGGGUGAGUAAUGCCUGGGAAAUUGCCCUGAUGUGGGGGAUAACCAUUGGAAACGAUGGCUAAUACCGCAUAAUAGCUUCGGCUCAAAGAGGGGGACCUUCGGGCCUCUCGCGUCAGGAUAUGCCCAGGUGGGAUUAGCUAGUUGGUGAGGUAAUGGCUCACCAAGGCGACGAUCCCUAGCUGGUCUGAGAGGAUGAUCAGCCACACUGGAACUGAGACACGGUCCAGACUCCUACGGGAGGCAGCAGUGGGGAAUAUUGCACAAUGGGCGCAAGCCUGAUGCAGCCAUGCCGCGUGUAUGAAGAAGGCCUUCGGGUUGUAAAGUACUUUCAGCAGUGAGGAAGGUGGUGUCGUUAAUAGCGGCAUCAUUUGACGUUAGCUGCAGAAGAAGCACCGGCUAACUCCGUGCCAGCAGCCGCGGUAAUACGGAGGGUGCGAGCGUUAAUCGGAAUUACUGGGCGUAAAGCGCAUGCAGGUGGUUUGUUAAGUCAGAUGUGAAAGCCCGGGGCUCAACCUCGGAAUUGCAUUUGAAACUGGCAGACUAGAGUACUGUAGAGGGGGGUAGAAUUUCAGGUGUAGCGGUGAAAU
rnacentral:rRNA from 1 species